rnacentral:tRNA from 1 species
GGCUAUGGCCUAGUCUAGUUUAGGGCGUCUCCCUGUCACGGAGAAGAUCACGGGUGCGAAUCCCGUUAGCC